rnacentral:rRNA from 1 species
GAUGAACGCUGGCGGCGUGCCUAAUACAUGCAAGUCGAGCGAACAGACGAGGAGCUUGCUCCUCUGACGUUAGCGGCGGACGGGUGAGUAACACGUGGAUAACCUACUUAUAUGUCUGGGAUAACUUCGGGAAACCGGAGCUAAUACCGGAUAAUAUAUUGAACCGCAUGGUUCAAUAGUGAAAGACGGUUUUGCUGUCACUUAUAGAUGGAUUCGCGCCGCAUUAGCUAGUUGGUAAGGUAACGGCUUACCAAGGCAACGAUGCGUAGCCGACCUGAGAGGGUGAUCGGCCACACUGGAACUGAGACACGGUCCAGACUCCUACGGGAGGCAGCAGUAGGGAAUCUUGCGCAAUGGGCGAAAGCCUGACGGAGCAACGCCGCGUGAGUGAUGAAGGUCUUCGGAUCGUAAAACUCUGUUGUUAGGGAAGAACAAAUGUGUAAGUAACUAUGCACGUCUUGACGGUACCUAAUCAGAAAGCCACGGCUAACUACGUG